UGGGGAAUAUUGGACAAUGGGCGCAAGCCUGAUCCAGCAAUGCCGCGUGAGUGAUGAAGGCCUUAGGGUUGUAAAGCUCUUUCGCACGCGACGAUGAUGACGGUAGCGUGAGAAGAAGCCCCGGCUAACUUCGUGCCAGCAGCCGCGGUAAUACGAAGGGGGCUAGCGUUGUUCGGAAUUACUGGGCGUAAAGGGCGCGUAGGCGGCCUGUUUAGUCAGAAGUGAGAGCCCCGGGCUCAACCUGGGAAUAGCUUUUGAUACUGGCAGGCUUGAGUUCCGGAGAGGAUGGUGGAAUUCCCAGUGUAGAGGUGAAAUUCGUAGAUAUUGGGAAGAACACCGGUGGCGAAGGCGGCCAUCUGGACGGACACUGACGCUGAGGCGCGAAAGCGUGGGGAGCAAACAGGAUUAGAUACCCUGGUAGUCCACGCCCGUAAAACGAUGAAUGCUAGACGUCGGGGUGCAAUGCAGCUUCGGUGUCGCCGCUAACGCAUUAAGCAUUCCGCCUGGGGAGUACGGCCGCAAGGUUAAAACUUAAAUGAAUUGACGGGGUC
rnacentral:rRNA from 1 species